UCCUCAGUAGCUCAGUGGUAGAGCGAUCGACUGUUAAUCGAUUGGUCGUAGGUUCAAGUCCUACCUGGGGAG
rnacentral:tRNA from 3 species